AGGACGAACGCUGGCGGCGUGCUUAACACAUGCAAGUCGAGCGGAAAGGCCCUUCGGGGUACUCGAGCGGCGAACGGGUGAGUAACACGUGAGUAACCUGGCCUCAGCUUUGGGAUAACCCUCGGAAACGGGGGCUAAUACCGGAUAUUCACUUCCUGUCGCAUGGUGGGGGGUGGAAAGUUUUUCGGCUGGGGAUGGGCUCGCGGCCUAUCAGCUUGUUGGUGGGGUGAUGGCCUACCAAGGCGACGACGGGUAGCCGGCCUGAGAGGGCGACCGGCCACGACUGGGACUGAGACACGGCCCAGACUCCUACGGGAGGCAGCAGUGGGGAAUAUUGCACAAUGGGCGGAAGCCUGAUGCAGCGACGCCGCGUGAGGGAUGACGGCCUUCGGGUUGUAAACCUCUUUCAGCUCCGACGAAGCGAAAGUGACGGUAGGGCAGAGAAGCGCCGGCAACUACGUGCCAGCAGCCGC
rnacentral:rRNA from 1 species